rnacentral:rRNA from 1 species
GACGAACGCUGGCGGCGUGCCUAAUACAUGCAAGUAGAACGCUGAAGAGAGGAGCUUACUCUUCUUGGAUGAGUUGCGAACGGGUGAGUAACGCGUAGGUAACCUGCCUUGUAGCGGGGGAUAACUAUUGGAAACGAUAGCUAAUACCGCAUAACAAUGGAUGACGCAUGUCAUUUAUUUGAAAGGGGCAAUUGCUCCACUACAAGAUGGACCUGCGUUGUAUUAGCUAGUAGGUGAGGUAAUGGCUCACCUAGGCGACGAUACAUAGCCGACCUGAGAGGGUGAUUGGCCACACUGGGACUGAGACACGGCCCAGACUCCUACGGGAGGCAGCAGUAGGGAAUCUUCGGCAAAGGGGGCAACCCUGACCGAGCAACGCCGCGUGAGUGAAGAAGGUUUUCGGAUCGUAAAGCUCUGUUGUAAGUCAAGAACGGGUGUGAGAGUGGAAAGUUCACACUGUGACGGUAGCUUACCAGAAAGGGACGGCUAACUACGU